rnacentral:lncRNA from 10 species
AGAUCAGCCCUGGGGUUCAGAGGGAUCCUGACAGCUACUCCUCAAGAUCCUCUCUGUUGUGAUUCAUCCCCCCGGGGCCCUACAGUUUCUCCUUCCUGACUCUUACAUUUCUUUGGAUGGCAUCAUUAUUAGACGGGGUUUCACCAUGUUGGCCAGGCUGGUCUUGAACCCUGGACCUUGUGAUCCACCCGCCUCGGCCUCCAAAAGUGCUAGGAUUACAGGCAUGAGCCACCGUGCCUGGCCCAGAGAGUCUUAAAUACCUGUCUCCUCCCAUAGUUAGGUGCCAAGCACUGUGGAUUCUGCCUCUCAGUGUCCAGACACCCAUUUUCCUUCCCACUGUUCCUUCCCCAUGGAGAAGCCUGUGGCUGGCUGACAGCAGAGAGAGAUGCUCAACUUGGAGAAGGUGUUACCUGGGCCAGGUGGGGAAGGUUUGUUUGCAGAGCAAAGAAGUGAAGCGGAACCAACCCCUCCUCUUCUUCCUCCCCCUCAGCCUAUUCAACGUGAAAAAGAUGAGGAUGAAGACCUUUAUUAUGAUCCACUUCCAAGUAAUGAACACACUGGAGAAAGUCAGACAGUCAAAACAAUGUCCCAGACUCCGUGAAGUUCCUGGGUAGAGAAGGAGACAGACAUAUACCAUACCUAAUAAUUGGAUGUCCGAGAGAAUGAGAGAAUGGCAGAAAGAACUUUAGAGCAUGGGUAUGAUGGCUAGAGCUUGAGCAGCC